rnacentral:rRNA from 1 species
AGAGCGAACGCUGGCGGCAGGCCUAACACAUGCAAGUCGAACGGACUCUUCGGAGUUAGUGGCGGACGGGUGAGUAACACGUGGGAACGUGCCUUUAGGUUCGGAAUAGCUCCUGGAAACGGGUGGUAAUACCGAAUGUGCCCUUCGGGGGAAAGGUUUAUCGCCUUUAGAGCGGCCCGCGUCUGAUUAGCUUGUUGGUGAGGUAAUGGCUCACCAAGGCUACGAUCAGUAGCUGGUCUGAGAGGAUGACCAGCCACAUUGGGACUGAGACACGGCCCAAACUCCUACGGGAGGCAGCAGUGGGGAAUCUUGCGCAAUGGGCGAAAGCCUGACGCAGCCAUGCCGCGUGUAUGAUGAAGGUCUUAGGAUUGUAAAAUACUUUCACCGGUGAAGAUAAUGACUGUAGCCGGAGAAGAAGCCCGCUAACUCGUGCCAGCAGCCGAC